UCUAGAGAUUACUCCUACGGGAGGCAGCAGUGGGGAAUAUUGCACAAUGGGCGCAAGCCUGAUGCAGCGACGCCGCGUGAGGGAUGACGGCCUUCGGGUUGUAAACCUCUUUCAGCUCCGACGAAGCGCAAGUGACGGUAGGAGCAGAAGAAGCACCGGCCAACUACGUGCCAGCAGCCGCGGUAAUAAUCGUCGAC
rnacentral:rRNA from 1 species